AGGAUAAACGCUGGCGGCGUGCCUAACACAUGCAAGUCGAACGCGCUUGCUAUCCGCGAGGACGGUGAGCGAGUGGCGGACGGGUGAGGAACACGUGGGUGACCUACCUUUCAGUGAGGGAUACCGGCGAGAAAUUGCCGACAAGACCGCAUACGCUUCUCUUUUCAAGGGGAGAAGGAAAGCUUUUCGCAAGAGAGGCGCUGGGAGAUGGGCCUGCGGCCGAUUAGCUAGCUGGUGGGGUAAUGGCCUACCAGGGCGACGAUCGGUAGCUGGUCUGAGAGGACGAUCAGCCACACUGGGAUUGAGAACGGCCCAGACUCCUACGGGGGGCAGCAGUGAGGAAUUUUCGGCAAUGGGGGCAACCCUGACCGAGCAACGCCGCGUGCAGGACGACGGCCUUCGGGUUGUAAACUGCUUUUCUCUGGGACGAGCAAGGACGGUACCAGAGGAAGAAGCCCGGCUAACUACGUGCCAGCAGCCGCGGU
rnacentral:rRNA from 1 species